rnacentral:sRNA from 1 species
UCACUAUGAGUCUCUCCAGGUUGUCAAA